rnacentral:rRNA from 1 species
CAAUAGCGUAUAUUUAAGUUGUUGCAGUUAAAAAGCUCGUAGUUGGAUUUCGGUUAAGAGCGACCGGUCCGCCGUUUGGUGUGCACUGGUUGGUUUUAACUUCCUGUAGAGGACGUGCUCUGGGUUUAACGACCCGGACUCGGAGUCUACGUGGUUACUUUGAAAAAAUUAGAGUGUUCAAAGCGGGCUUACGCUUGAAUAUUUCAGCAUGGAAUAACACUAUAGGACUCCUGUCCUAUUUCGUUGGUCUCGGGACGGGAGUAAUGAUUAAGAGGAACAGUUGGGGGCAUUCGUAUUUCAUUGUCAGAGGUGAAAUUCUUGGAUUUAUGAAAGACGAACUUCUGCGAAAGCAUUUGCCAAGGAUGUUUUCAUUA